rnacentral:lncRNA from 1 species
CGAAUAAUUACGUUCCUGGACCAAACCCUAAGGUCCAACCCUCAUGUAUCAAUCCCAAAUCAUGUGAAAACAUGCUUAAGACAUCAUACAUGCAUUCAAGCAUCACAUACCCUUGUAACAUACUCAAGCACAUACAUCACAACACUUAAAUCAUCCAAACCCAAUCAUACAUGUUAUACCCCAACAAACCCAAACGCACUUCAAAUGAUUAUCACAACACCUUUACAACAUAUAUUUGCAUGGGAAACCCCUAAGCAUCAUAAUUUUGUUCCCCUUUAGCAUCAAACCCUAUUAUGGAAUAACCCAACAAAAACAUAAAAAAUACAUUCAUAGGGAAAACUCAUCCCAAAUAUUAAUUGCAUCAAACCAGAAUUACCAAUCAAGAUAAUCAAGAAUACAUAGUAUACUACACACAAACAUACAAAGGUAAACUUCCCUAUACCUUGGUCAAUCCUAAGGCUUUCUCUAUACCCAAAGAUCUUCUCCAAUGUAGUUGCACUCUCCCCAUUCACUCUCUCUCCUUUCCUCU